rnacentral:other from 1 species
GGUCAUCUGGGAUACUCGUGAUGAAAUGGAUAAAUCCUUGAGCCUAUUUUUUUAUCCCGGGAGCGAUCUUUUGGUCUUGUGUGCAUGACCGCUGCGGCGGUAAGCCUUUUGGACUAAACUAGCACCCACUUGAACCUUUGGUUCAAGGCUGAAGUUUCACACGACUUCUUGGAGCCGUC